AUUGAACGCUGGCGGCAGGCCUAACACAUGCAAGUCGAACGAUGGGGGGACGGGUGAGUAAUGUCUGGGAAACUGCCAGAUGGAGGGGGAUAACUACUGGAAACAGUAGCUAAUACCGCAUACCAUCGGAUGAGCCCAGAUGUGAUUAGCUAGUAGGUGGGGUAACGGCUCACCUAGGCGACGAUCCCUAGCUGGUCUGAGAGGAUGAACGGCCACACUGGAACUGAGACACGGUCCAUACUCCUACGGGAGGCAGCAGUGGGGAAUAUUGCACAAUGGGCGCAAGCCUGAUGCAGCCAUGCCGCGUGUAUGAAGAAGGCCUUCGGGUUGUAAAGUACUUUCAGCGGAGAGGCGUUACUCGCAGAAGAAGCAACGGCUAACUCCGUGCCAGCCGCCGCGGUAAUAC
rnacentral:rRNA from 1 species